rnacentral:sRNA from 1 species
UCAAUUUAGGGCAAGUGUCACGCGCGCG